AUUUAUUUCAUUUAUUCACCAGAUAGUUUUAGUACUGUUUUAGGUAUUGGGGAUAUACCAAGGAAUAAAACAAGAUUCCUGGAGGGAGAGGGGAACGGACAGCAAACAAUAGACACAAUACGAUCGUGAGGUAUAUAGUUAAUGUUGGUGAUGAGUGCUCCUCAAAGGAAACAACUAAAACCAGACAAGGGAAGUCGGGGUGUCAGGGAGAAUGGUUUGUAGUAUUGAUGACAAUGGUUAAGGAAGGCCUGAGUUCUGCAAAGACCUCAAGGAUAUGAGGGACUAGAGUGCCCUCUGCUGUGGAAGAGCCUGCGCAAAGAUCCUGAGGUGGGAGGGGUCAGGGAGCCAACUCAUUUUACGGUAAGUGGAGGUGGGAUCCAGGGGAGGAUUCUGAGCAGAGGAGGGACGUGGCCCAAUUUGGGCUUUGAAAGGAUCCUGCUUGUCUGUGUGCCAGCAUCCUGGUGGUGGUUGGGGGAGUCUGCAUCAAUCCUGGGUGCUGUUACCUGAAAAAAUAGCAGGUGUUAGACGAAAGAACAGAUGUCUGGCCCAUUGUCUCCAGUCUGUUCCUGUCCACAGCUUCCCUUUAUGCUGAGCCCCUGCCACAUGCAUCAUCAUCCUGGCCAUGUGGCAUUGUCACAGACCGUCUCUCCUGCUAGCCUCCUAACUCAGGGCCUGGGUCUUCCCCAGCAUUAAGUAAAUCAGUCUCAGGCAGACAGCCCUUUAUAGGUGUUUGGGCCAGGUGCGGUGGCUCACGCCUGUAAUCCCAGCUCUUUGUGGGGCCGAGGUCUUUGAGCUCAGGAGUUCAAGACCAGCCUGGGCAGCAUGACAAAACCCUGUCUCUACCAAAAAUACAAAAAUUAGCCACGCAUGGUGGCACACACCUGUGGUCCCAGCUACUCGGGAGGCUGAGGUGGGAGGAUCGCUGGAGCCUGGGAAGUUGAGGCUGCAGUGAGCCGUGAUCAUGCCACUGCAUUCCAGCCUGUGUGAUGGAGAGAGACCCUGUCUCAAAAAAAA